UAUAUUUAAGUGUAAGAUGCACAUGAAUUUUUGAUAUUCAAAGGAAUAGUUUAAUUCUAUUAAAUAUAA
rnacentral:tRNA from 1 species